GGCGAACGCUGGCGGCGUGCUUAACACAUGCAAGUCGAACGGAAAGGCCCUGCUUUUGUGGGGUGCUCGAGUGGCGAACGGGUGAGUAACACGUGAGUAACCUGCCCUUGACUUUGGGAUAACUUCAGGAAACUGGGGCUAAUACCGGAUAGGAGCUCCUGCUGCAUGGUGGGGGUUGGAAAGUUUCGGCGGUUGGGGAUGGACUCGCGGCUUAUCAGCUUGUUGGUGGGGUAGUGGCUUACCAAGGCUUUGACGGGUAGCCGGCCUGAGAGGGUGACCGGCCACAUUGGGACUGAGAUACGGCCCAGACUCCUACGGGAGGCAGCAGUGGGGAAUAUUGCACAAUGGGCGGAAGCCUGAUGCAGCAACGCCGCGUGCGGGAUGACGGCCUUCGGGUUGUAAACCGCUUUCGCCUGUGACGAAGCGUGAGUGACGGUAAUGGGUAAAGAAGCACCGGCUAACUACGUGCCAGCAGCCGCGGUGAUACGUAGGGUGCGAGCGUUGUCCGGAUUUAUUGGGCGUAAAGGGCUCGUAGGUGGUUGAUCGCGUCGGAAGUGUAAUCUUGGGGCUUAACCCUGAGCGUGCUUUCGAUACGGGUUGACUUGAGGAAGGUAGGGGAGAAUGGAAUUCCUGGUGGAGCGGUGGAAUGCGCAGAUAUCAGGAGGAACACCAGUGGCGAAGGCGGUUCUCUGGGCCUUUCCUGACGCUGAGGAGCGAAAGCGUGGGGAGCGAACAGGCUUAGAUACCCUGGUAGUCCACGCUGUAAACGGUGGGUACUAGGUGUGGGGUCCAUUCCACGGGUUCCGUGCCGUAGCUAACGCUUUAAGUACCCCGCCUGGGGAGUACGGCCGCAAGGCUAAAACUCAAAGGAAUUGACGGGGCCCCGCACAAGCGGCGGAGCAUGCGGAUUAAUUCGAUGCAACGCGUAGAACCUUACCUGGGUUUGACAUGGAUCGGGAGUGCUCAGAGAUGGGUGUGCCUCUUUUGGGGUCGGUUCACAGGUGGUGCAUGCCUGUCGUCAGCUCGUGUCGUGAGAUGUUGGGUUAAGUCCCGCAACGAGCGCAACCCUUGUUCACUGUCGCCAGCACGUUAUGGUGGGGACUCAGUGGAGACCGCCGGGGUCAACUCGGAGGAAGGUGGGGAAGACGUCAAGUCAUCAUGCCCCUUAUGUCCAGGGCUUCACGCAUGCUACAAUGGCUGGUACAGAGAGUGGCGAGCCUGUGAGGGUGAGCGAAUCUCGGAAAGCCGGUCUCAGUUCGGAUUGGGGUCUGCAACUCGACCUCAUGAAGUCGGAGUCGCUAGUAAUCGCAGAUCAGCAACGCUGCGGUGAAUACGUUCCCGGGGCU
rnacentral:rRNA from 1 species